rnacentral:rRNA from 1 species
AAAUCAGGUAGGACUACCCGCUGAACUUAAGCAUAUCAAUAAGCGGAGGAAAAGAAACUAACAAGGAUUCCCCUAGUAACUGCGAGUGAAGCGGGAAAAGCUCAAAUUUGAAAUCUGGCAGUUCUUUUGACUGUCCGAGUUGUAAUCUAGAGAAGUGUUACCUGUGCUGGACCAUGUACAAGUCUUCUGGAAUGGGGCAUCAUAGAGGGUGAGAAUCCCGUCUUUGACAUGGACUACCAGUGCACUGUGGUGCGCUCUCAAAGAGUCGAGUUGUUUGGGAAUGCAGCUCAAAAUGGGUGGUAAAUGCCAUCUAAAGCUAAAUAUUGGCGAGAGACCGAUAGCGAACAAGUACGGUGAGGGAAAGAUGAAGAGAACUUUGGAAAGAGAGUUAAACAGUACGUGAAAUUGCUGAAAGGGAAACGCUUGAAGUCAGUCACGUUGGCUAGAAAUCAGCCUUGCUUUUGCUUGGUGUACUUUCUGGUUGACGGGUCAGCAUCGAUUCUUGACCAUUGGAUAAAGUCUUUGGGAAUGUGGCAUCUUUGGAUGUGUUAUAGCCCAUUGUCGCAUAUGAUGGUUGGGAUCGAGGAACUCAGCACGCCGCAAGGCCGGGUUUAUACCACGUUCAUGCUUAGGAUGCUGGCAUAAU